UACGGAGGGUGCAAGCGUUAUCCGGAUUCACUGGGUUUAAAGGGUGCGUAGGAGGGCAGGUAAGUCAGUGGUGAAAUCUCCGAGCUUAACUUGGAAACUGCCAUUGAUACUAUCUGUCUUGAAUACCGUGGAGGUCAGCGGAAUAUGUCAUGUAGCGGUGAAAUGCUUAGAUAUGACAUAGAACACCAAUUGCGAAGGCAGCUGGCUACACGAAUAUUGACACUGAUGCACGAAAGCGUGGGGAUCAAACAGG
rnacentral:rRNA from 1 species